rnacentral:rRNA from 1 species
UACGUAGGGGGCUAGCGUUGUCCGGAUUUAUUGGGCGUAAAGAGCGUGUAGGCGGCCAGAUAGGUCUGUUGUGAAAACUCGAGGCUCAACCUCGAGACGCCGACGGAAACCAUCUGGCUAGAGUCCGGAAGAGGAGAGUGGAAUUCCUGGUGUAGCGGUGAAAUGCGCAGAUAUCAGGAAGAACACCCGUGGCUAAGGCGGCUCUCUAGUACGGUACUGACGCUGAGACGCGAAAGCGUGGGGAGCGAACAGG